AUGUUCCUGACACUCCAUUUUGUAAACAGAUUUUUUUAUUUUUUUGGUUAAAGGACGUCUAAACAUGCCGAGUGAGAUGGAUGGACCGCCACUCUGCUCUUUCAUUUUCUCCUCUCUGACUCCGGGAGUGUGCGGCCCGGCCAAUGGCAGCGCCUCCCGCCGCCGACCCUGGGGGCCCUCGCGGCAGGGGAGACGCACCCACAGCAAUGUCAGGAGGAGGCCGGAUGACGCCACCCCAAGCGGCCACCUCCUUCGGCAGCGGAAGGCAGUCUUGGCUUCUUCCUCCGUAGGUGAUUUUUCUAAGGCCAAUAAAUGAACUGAAAAUAUGGAUGCCUGGAACUCGGUCCUUUACUGUUUGGAUCUAACACAACAGCCACCAGAGGGUUAAAGACACACAGGUGGAGAGAGUUGAUGUGGUGGAGAAAUGCCUUUCCAUAUUUUUAAGUGCAAUAUUAACUCACGUCGGAUAUAACAAGUAACAGUGCAAUGAAAUGAAGUCAGGAACAGCAACGCCAUUAAGAAAACGUGCCAUUAGGGAGAGGCCGCGUGUUUCCUAUGGAAGAGAUGCACCAGGAAUGACGGGAUGCAGGCUGAUGUCUGGACAGAAAUUCGCAGAACCCUUCACAGCUGAGGGGGUGUUAAGCUCCAUAAGGUCUGACCCAAGGCCAUCCAGCCAGGUGUGUUUCAGGUUCCUGAGGCCGGUCAGCCCCGCGCUUGUAAGUGACAGUGCCCGAGCCGACAACCCGAGGGCCACUACCCACGUUUGCCAUCGACGUGUUUUAUGUUCCAUCGUGCCCGAGGCACAGUUUCCCGUGGGUCUACUGUCCUUCCCGAGCAGUGCGCCCCCGAGGCCUGGUUCCUGUGGCCUCACAUAG
rnacentral:lncRNA from 1 species